rnacentral:rRNA from 1 species
UACAGAGGUCUCAAGCGUUGUUCGGAUUCAUUGGGCGUAAAGGGUGCGUAGGUGGCGCGCUAAGUCAGGUGUGAAAUUUCGGAGCUUAACUCCGAAACUGCAUUCGAUACUGGCGUGCUUGAGGACUGGAGAGGAGACUGGAAUUCAUGGUGUAGCAGUGAAAUGACGUAGAGAUCAUGAGGAAGACCAGUGGCGAAGGCGGGUCUCUGGACAGUUCCUGACACUGAGACGCGAAAGCGUGGGGAGCGAACAGG